rnacentral:RNase_P_RNA from 1 species
GUAAGACAGACGGUUGCGGCUGAAGGUAAUUCCUUCAGGUGAGGAAAGUCCGGGCUUCACAGGGCAGGAUGCCGGAUAACGUCCGGUGGAGGCGACUCCAAGGCAAGUGCAACAGAAAUAUACCGCCAGCAGAUAUGCGAAGGAACUGCGCAGGCAUUUCUUUCGGGGGAGUUUAAGCUCCCUCUGGUAAGGGUGGAAAGGCAGCUUAAGAGACUACCGUCCCACUGGUAACAGUGGGAGCCAUGUAAACCCCAUCCGAAGCAAGACCAAACAGGAAGCAACAGAUUUGCCCGGUCUGCUUUCAGGUAGGUCGCUUGAUGCGGCUGGCAACAGCCGUACUAGAUAGAUAACCGUUCAACGACAUAACCCGGCUUAUCGUUUUGCUU